rnacentral:lncRNA from 1 species
GAGCUUGAGUAAAGAAUGACUAAUGAUGUAGUUGUGGUUUUGCGAAAACCUGCUUGUCUUCUAAAGUCGAGUUGAGAGCUCAUAUUGGAGCUUCAGUACCUGUGGGUACUUCUGUGGGUUGUUGAUGACUCGGAGAUUUGAUGAAAUCAAGUCGAGGGUUGAGAGUAGAGCAUGGGGGCUCGUAGAGCCGUAUAGCUCGAGUAGCUGUGAAUAGCCUAUGAGUUAUAGUAACUCGUAGAAACUUGAUGAAAUCGAGUCGAAGAGCGGAGUACUGAGGUUCGCCGGUCUAGAUAGCUCGAAGUGGUUGUGAAUAGCCAAAGAGUUUGUUUGAAAGGCUUGGGGGCAAAGCCCCGAGUACAUGUUCUGUGGCUUGCUAUGGGUAGUAGCGAUAGAGGUGUU